GAGAAGCAUAUAUUCCAGCAUGCAUGGGGAUUUUCUGCUGGAAGGUAGUAACUCCACAGCCCCACUGGGAUCAGAGGCUCACAGCUCUGACAGCUUGAAGAGAUUGCUGUAAUUAUAAGAAUGGAAAUAGUACUGAUUAUCAAGAGCUCGUUAGUGCAUAGUACGGAGAUGAUAUCAUCUUUUGAAAAGUCUUAAGAGGCUGCAAUCUGGCUUUCAUUUGCAAAUUUCUGUUCCCACCCUUAGUUUUUCUUUGUUCAUAUUUUGAGAGGAUAAACAAGCACUUUUUUUUGCAUUGAAAUAUGAACUAUUCCCAAGAGAAGAUGCUCCUCUAGGGGAAAUGCACUGGCCCUACCUGGGCCGAUGGAGAAUGACAUUGAAUGAGAAGUUGGCUGCUGCCAUCAGUGGAGAUGAUGCCAGAAGAACGAAAAGACCUGGACCUUGCUUCUAUCCACCCAGCUACCCAUCCUCCUUCCUCAUUCUUAUUUCCCCAAUAUUUUUCCCCCUCUGGAAAUAGGGGAGGCCUCUGAUGUGCCCUCAGUCAUACUUCUCUAUUUCUCUAGUCUUCUUAUUUUAAAAUUAGUAUACUAAUAUUUAUAAAGCUGUCAUGAAUACUUAUAAUUAAUAUCAAAUUUAUUAAUCAAUAAACAUGAUAUAAUUAAUUAUAUUAAUUUAUAAAUAAUAACUUAUAAACAUG
rnacentral:lncRNA from 1 species